CCCGCAACGCGGCCACCGCUUUCCGUGUGCAACUGCUUCAAUGGUAGUCGCGUUUGCCGCGCUCGUGCCUUCCCCGUUUUCUUCAUCGAGAGAGAGAAAGAGAAAGAGAGAGAGAAAGAAAGAGAAGGGGAACACGCGCUACUUUCUCGUGAAAAGACAAAAAGCCGCUAAGCAAACACGUGUAUGGAACUAGGAUAAAGAAAUAAAAAUGCCGUCAAAUAGUUUCUUCGACUUCCAUAGUUCCUUGAUUAUGAAUUAUUGAGAGAUGAUAAACCGGAAGAAUGAAAGAGUGAGAGCGUUCAAAAACGCGAGUGUUAUCAUCCACAUACUUUUUCGUGUUUCCUGUGUUUCCGGUCACGUGGAUCACGUGGUCGAUGAAACCCCUCCUCUUCUUUCGUAGUGGUGCUCUCGAGAGGAGGGAGUACCGGCUUGAAGGCAAGCAGGGGUGGCAGUUGGUAGUGGUGGUGGUGGUGGUGGUGGUAGUGCUGAUGCUGGAGGUUCAAGAACGAAAAGAAAGAUAACGAAGAGGAUACGCGAAAGAGGAUGCUGUGCCCUCGGGAUCCGAGACCACGUGGAAAUAAUCGGAUUAACACGCGACAGAACGUACUUUGGUACAAUACGUUUCUGCCCUUGAAUUGCUAAGGAAAGAGGUGAAAAGAAGACAGAAGAAACGAGAAAAGAAUUUUAAAAAGCUAGUCUCGCACGAUUCUGGAAUAUCCAUCGACGAUGAUGACGACGAGAACGAAACAGAAACUUUUACGGAGAACACUAUUGCAGAGAAAUAUACAAAAGAGCAAGGAAGAUAAAUUCUUUUGGAAGCGAAAAAGGGAGUACCAAGAGGGUACAAGGAGGACAACGGGAAGACAACCAGGCGGGUACCCGUCGAGGAAGCAUGGAGUCGUCCUUUCCCGGGCAAAGUAAGCGUCGAAACGGAACCAACGAAAACUUUGUUACAUCUGACGUUAAAGUUGCGGUGAAGUAAUCGCCAAGGAAUCCAUCGACCUGCGGAUAAAAACCACGAUACUCGGAGCUUGAUGGAUGAAGAUCGAUGGCGUGUACGCGGCAACGGCUUGCAAAAGCAACCACCCACCUACCCCCUACGACGGCAGCUACUCGCGGGCGCACGCUCAAUAUCGUUACACACCUCAUAUCCUGCCCUCCGACUUAAUAUCCUCUGACGCGUGCGAAAAGCCCCUAGGAUGCAAAAGAUAGUAAACGCGUCAGGUGCUUCUCGAAACGACAAAGGUGUUCUUCUUACAUUAUUCGACUCUCCCUAACAGUUAACUUCCUCUUUUGGCUAAUGUACUUUUUAUUUUAUUUUAUUUUAUUUUCAUUUAUUUACUUAAUAUUUUUUAUAAUAAAU